CCCCAAAACUCAGAUCCUACCGCUGCCGCCGCCACCAUGGAUCACAGCCACUGCAUCGAUUUCUCUUUGCCUCUCCAUCAUCGCUCAAUCCAGUCCAUCAUGUUUUAUCUUGAGGCACAAAGAAGCUUGCAUAGGCCUUGGUUAUAUUGAUGCUGGUGUUGCUGCAACAUGGUUUCAGGGAUGAAGGAAAUCAAGAUUUCAAAGUCCAAUUUGAUGUAAGCAGUGGCUUUUGUGAUGGGUGGAAUUCAGGAAGCCUGCAAUGAUAUUUAAAUCUUUCAACGAUAUCAUAUACAUAAUACCAAGUUUUGUAUUUUUAUAUUUCCAGUAUUUGAUAUAUUGUUUUAACCAAUCCAGUUGAUUGUAUUAGUUGCGGUGGAGGUUGGCUAUUAUGUCAAAUCGAAACCAAAGGCAUGUAGAUGAAACUCUGAAGUUAGUAGUGGAUUUGGUGCAAACAACCUGUAAACUUGCUGUGGAAUAUAUGGAAGCUUAGAGAAAUAAUCAGUCUAGAUAGCCUAUUGAAGGGUGUACAUGGCCUUUGUGGAUUUGGGGCUUCAUGGAGUAGAGGUAGAAUGUGAAUUUAAAAGUCCAAUAGAUGAAGUAAAGUCAAUUGGACCUACCAAUUUGAGCAUUGGCCACAUCCUUAAUGAUGUUAGACUACCUGGUAGUUUUUAUUUUAUUUUUUGAUGGGUACACUACUUGGUAGUUGGUUCUUCUAUUAGGAAUAUUUUUUUUCCCUUGUGGCUUUCCUUGAACAAACAGACCAACAAAGAAGAUAGCAUUUGAAGCAAAGAACUGGCUAGGUU